GGCAACGGAUAUCUCGGCUCUCGCAUCGAUGAAAACGUAGCAAAUGCGAUACUUGGUGUGAAUUGCAGAAUCCCGUGAACCAUCGAGUCUUUGAACGCAAGUUGCGCCCGAAGCCGUUAGGCCGAGGGCACGUCUGCCUGGGCGUCUCGC
rnacentral:rRNA from 1 species